rnacentral:lncRNA from 1 species
UUUUAACGCUAAGAAAAAGAUGUAGAUUUGUAUUUAGUAUUUACAUCAGCAAUUACCUUCUUUCAGGCGCAGGAGCACAGGCCACUACAGAUGACAAAAGAAUAUAGGUUUUCAAAGGAAAUCAUUGAAGCCUGUUGUUUAUCUUCGUUCUCGAAAUUGAUUGCUUAUCGUUUUAGAUUAUUUGGGUAAUUUUUAUUCAUGAGUUUUUAUUUUUGAAUUAGUGGUUGUUCUUCACCCCUACGAUUCUCAACCACAUGCAUGAUAUCAAUGAAUUGAUAAUUUGAUAUAUUUUAAAUU